rnacentral:rRNA from 1 species
AACGGCAGCACGAAAGAGCUUCCCUUCUUUCGGGCGGCCGAGCGGCGAAACGGGCGAGUCACGCAUCGGAAACGUCACCGAGUAACGGGGGAUAAACUAUCCGAAAGAGAUAGCUAAUACCGCAUACGCUUUCGAGAAGGAAAGCGGGGGCUCUUUCGGAACCUCACGUUAUUUCGAGCGGCCGAAGUCUGAUUAGCUAGUUCGGUGGGGUAAAGGCCUACCAAGGCGACGAUCAGUAGCGGGUCUGAGAGGAUGAUUCCGCCACACUGGGACUGAGACACGGCCCAGACUCCUACGGGAGGCAGCAGUGGGGAAUUUUGGACAAUGGGCGCAAGCCUGAUCCAGCCAUGCCGCGUGUCUGAAGAAGGCCUUCGGGUUGUAAAGGACUUUUGUUAGGGAAGAAAAGGAUAGUGUUAAUACCAUUAUCUGCUGACGGUACCUAAAGAAUAAGCACCGGCUAACUACGUGCCAGCAGCCGCGGUAAUACGUAGGGUGCGAGCGUUAAUCGGAAUUACUGGGCGUAAAGCGAGCGCAGACGGUUUAUUAAGCAAGAUGUGAAAUCCCCGAGCUUAACUUGGGAACUGCGUUUUGAACUGGUAAGCUAGAGUAUGUCAGAGGGGGGUAGAAUUCCACGUGUAGCAGUGAAAUGCGUAGAGAUGUGGAGGAAUACCGAUGGCGAAGGCAGCCCCCUGGGAUAAUACUGACGUUCAUGCUCGAAAGCGUGGGUAGCAAACAGGAUUAGAUACCCUGGUAGUCCACGCCCUAAACGAUGUCAAUUAGCUGUUGGGCAACAUGAUUGCUUAGUAGCGUAGCUAACGCGUGAAAUUGACCGCCUGGGGAGUACGGUCGCAAGAUUAAAACUCAAAGGAAUUGACGGGGACCCGCACAAGCGGUGGAUGAUGUGGAUUAAUUCGAUGCAAACGCGAAGAACCUUACCUGGUCUUGACAUGUACGGAAUCUUCCAGAGACGGAAGAGUGCCUUCGGGAGCCGUAACACAGGUGCUGCAUGGCUGUCGUCAGCUCGUGUCGUGAGAUGUUGGGUUAAGUCCCGCAACGAGCGCGAACCCUUGUCAUUAGUUGCCACCAUUCAGUUGGGCGACUCUAAUGAGACUGCCGGUGACGAAACUCGGAGGAAGGUGGGGAUGAACGUCGAAGUUCCUCGUGGCCCUUAUGGACCGGGGCUUCGACGACGUCGCGCGAAUGGUCGGUACGGAGGGGAGCCAGGCCGCGAGGUGGAGC